UACGGAGGGAGCUAGCGUUGUUCGGAAUUACUGGGCGUAAAGCGUGCGUAGGCGGCUUUGUAAGUCAGAUGUGAAAUCCCCGGGCUUAACCUGGGAACUGCGUUUGAAACUACAAGGCUAGAGUGUGGCAGAGGGGGGUGGAAUUCCACGUGUAGCAGUGAAAUGCGUAGAGAUGUGGAGGAACACCGAUGGCGAAGGCAGCCCCCUGGGUUAACACUGACGCUCAGGCACGAAAGCGUGGGGAGCAAACAGG
rnacentral:rRNA from 1 species